rnacentral:rRNA from 1 species
CACGUAGGAGGCGAGCGUUAUCCGGAUUUACUGGGCGUAAAGCGCGUGUAGGCGGUUUGGUAAGUUGGAUGUGAAAUCUCCUGGCUCAACUAGGAGAGGUCGUUCAAUACUACCAGACUAGAGGACGGUAGAGGAAGGUAGAAUUCCCGGUGUAGUGGUGAAAUGCGUAGAUAUCGGGAGGAAUACCAGUGGCGAAGGCGGCCGUUCUGGGCCGUUCCUGACUGCUAGGCG